AUUGAACGCUGGCGGCAGGCCUAACACAUGCAAGUCGAACGAGUGGCGGACGGGUGAGUAAUGUCUGGGAAACUGCCCGAUGGAGGGGGAUAACUACUGGAAACGGUAGCUAAUACCGCAUACCAUCGGAUGUGCCAAGAUGGGUUGAGCUAGUAGGUGGGGUAACGGAUCACCUAGGCGACGCUCCCUAGCUGGUCUGAGAGGAUGACCAGCCACACUGGAACUGAGACACGGUCCAGACUCCUAAGGGAGGCAGUAGUGGGGAAUAUUGCACAAUGGGCGCAAGCCUGAUGCAGCCAUGCCGCGUGUAUGAAGAAGGCCUUCGGGUUGUAAAGUACUUUCAGCGAGGAGGCGUUACUCGCAGAAGAAGCACCGGCUAACUCCGUGCCAGCAGCCGCGGUAAUUC
rnacentral:rRNA from 1 species